GUGGGGAAUUUUGGACAAUGGGCGCAAGCCUGAUCCAGCAAUGCCGCGUGCAGGAAGAAGGCCUUCGGGUUGUAAACUGCUUUUGUACGGAACGAAACGGUCCGGGUUAAUACCCUGGGCUAAUGACGGUACCGUAAGAAUAAGCACCGGCUAACUACGUGCCAGCAGCCGCGGUAAUACGUAGGGUGCAAGCGUUAAUCGGAAUUACUGGGCGUAAAGCGUGCGCAGGCGGUUUUGUAAGACAGGCGUGAAAUCCCCGGGCUCAACCUGGGAAUUGCGCUUGUGACUGCAAGGCUGGAGUGCGGCAGAGGGGGAUGGAAUUCCGCGUGUAGCAGUGAAAUGCGUAGAUAUGCGGAGGAACACCGAUGGCGAAGGCAAUCCCCUGGGCCUGCACUGACGCUCAUGCACGAAAGCGUGGGGAGCAAACAGGAUUAGAAACCCGUGUAGUCC
rnacentral:rRNA from 1 species